rnacentral:rRNA from 1 species
GACGAACGCUGGCGGCGUGCCUAAUACAUGCAAGUAGAACGCAGUUGCGAACGCGUGAGUAACGCGUAGGUAACUUCCUCAUAGCGGGGGAUAACUAUUGGAAACGCUAGCUAAUACCGCAUACUGUGAGAUGGACCUGCGUUGUAUUAGCUAGUUGGUGGGGUAAAGGCUCACAAAGGCGACGAUACAUAGCCGAUCUGUGAGGGAGAUUGGUCAAACUGGGACUGGGAAACGGCCCAGACUCCUAAGGGAGGCAGCAGUGGGGAAUCUUCGGCAAUGGACGGAAGUCUGAACGAGCAACGAAGCGUGAGUGAUGAAGGUUUUCGGGUCGUAAAGCUCUGUUGUUAGAGAAGCGGUAACUAACGAGAAAGGGACGGCUAACUACGUGCCAGCAGCCGCGGUAAUAC